rnacentral:rRNA from 1 species
GAUGAACGCUGGCGGCGUGCCUAACACAUGCAAGUCGAGCGAACAGACGAGGAUUUUGCUCGGAUGACGCGAGCGGCGGACGGGUGAGUCACACGUGUAUAACCUACCUAGAGGACUGAGAUAACGAUACGAAAGCUGAGCUAAUAUAGGAUAAUAUAUUGAAACUCAUGGUUCAAUAGUGAAAGACGGUUUUGAUGUCACUAAUAGCUGGAUCCGGGCCGCAUGAGCUAGUUGUUAAGGAAACGGCUUACCAAGGCAGCGAUGCGUAGCCGACCUGAGAGGGUGAUCGGCCACACUGGAACUGAGACACGGUCCAGACUCCUACGGGAGGCAGCAGUAGGGAAUCUUCCGCAAUGGGCGAAAGCCUGACGGAGCCACGCCGCGUGAGUGAUGAAGGUCUUCGGAUCGUAAAACUCUGUAAGUAGGGAGGAACAAAUGUGUGAUUAACUAUGCACGUCUUGACGGUACCUACUCAAAAAGCCACGGCUAACUACGUG